UUUUCUGCCAGAAGCGUGUUCUCCAGUGCCCAGACACUCGGAUCCAGAAAACUUAACUUUAAAUGAGUGCACCAGGUGGCUGUACAAUAGAAACUGGAUUCCAGUGUCAAGCACUGGAAUGACAUCAUCUACUACUCAAAUU
rnacentral:ncRNA from 1 species